rnacentral:rRNA from 1 species
UACGUAGGGGCCGAGCGUUGUCCGGAGUUACUGGGCGUAAAGCGCGCGCAGGCGGCUCGUCAAGCCUGACGUGAAAGCCCCCGGCUCAACCGGGGAGGGUCGUCGGGGACUGGCGGGCUUGAGGUCGGCAGGGGUUGGUGGAAUUCCCGGUGUAGUGGUGAAAUGCGUAGAGAUCGGGAGGAACACCCGUGGCGAAGGCGGCCAACUGGGCCGGGCCUGACGCUGAGGCGCGAAGGCGUGGGGAGCGAACGGG